GAUGAACGCUGGCGGCGUGCCUAAUACAUGCAAGUCGAGCGAACAGACGAGGAGCUUGCUCCUCUGACGUUAGCGGCGGACGGGUGAGUAACACGUGGAUAACCUACCUAUAAGACUGGGAUAACUUCGGGAAACCGGAGCUAAUACCGGAUAAUAUAUUGAACCGCAUGGUUCAAUAGUGAAAGACGGUUUUGCUGUCACUUAUAGAUGGAUCCGCGCCGCAUUAGCUAGUUGGUAAGGUAACGGCUUACCAAGGCAACGAUGCGUAGCCGACCUGAGAGGGUGAUCGGCCACACUGGAACUGAGACACGGUCCAGACUCCUACGGGAGGCAGCAGUAGGGAAUCUUCCGCAAUGGGCGAAAGCCUGACGGAGCAACGCCGCGUGAGGGAUGAAGGUCUUCGGAUCGUAAAACUCUGUUAUUAGGGAAGAACAAAUGUGUAAGUAACUAUGCACGUCUUGACGGUACCUAAUCAGAAAGCCACGGCUAACUACGUGC
rnacentral:rRNA from 1 species